rnacentral:rRNA from 1 species
UCGACCUGAGCUCAGGCAAGAUUACCCGCUGAACUUAAGCAUAUCAAUAAGCGGAGGAAAAGAAACUAACAAGGAUUCCCCUAGUAACGGCGAGCGAACCGGGAAUAGCCCAGCUUGAAAAUCUCCCUUGGAGAAUUGUAGUCUGUAGAAGCGCCCUCUGCGGCGGCCGGGCUCUAAGUUCCCUGGAAGGGGGCGUCAGAGAGGGUGAGAACCCCGUCGAGCCUUGGCUUAGCCGCCUCACGAGGUGCUUUCAAAGAGUCGGGUUGCUUGGGAAUGCAGCCCAAAGCAGGUGGUAAAUCCCAUCUAAGGCUAAAUACUGGCGAGAGACCGAUAGCGAACAAGUACCGCGAGGGAAAGAUGAAAAGAACUUUGAAAAGAGAGUUAAAAAGUGCUUGAAAUUGUUGAGGGGGAAGCGAUUGGCAGCUGCGUGUGCGCCCAGGCUUACGCCGUCCUAACGGGCGGCUGCAUGUGCUGGGCGCUGGUCAGCAUGGGUUGGCUUGGCAGGAUAACCGCGGGGGUUGUUACCUCGUCUAUGCUGCCGGGCCGACUGAGGUGUGAAGGCCGCUUUGUCCUUCGGGAUCUGCGGCCUCAAGAUGCUGGCGGAAGGCUUUCAAUCGGCCCGUCUUGAAACACGGACCAAGGAGUCUAACAUGUAUGCGAGCUGGUGGGUGGAAAACCCAUGAGGCGCAAGAAACCUGACUGGUGGGAUGGCGUAAGCSUGCACCAUCGACCGACCAUGAUCUUCUGUGAAAGGUUCGAGUACGAGCAUACCUGUUGGGACCCGAAAGAUGGUGAACUAUGCCUGAGCAGGGCGAAGCCAGAGGAAACUYUGGUGGAGGCUCGUAGAUGUGCUGACGUGCAAAUCGCUUUUCGGACUUGGGUAUAGGGGCGAAAGACUAAUCGAACCAUCUAGUAGCUGGUUCCCUCCGAAGUUUCCCCCAGGNUAGCUGGAGCUU